rnacentral:rRNA from 1 species
GACGAAGGGGCUAGCGUUGUUCGGAAUUACUGGGCGUAAAGCGAGUGUAGGUGGUUGUCGUAGUCAGGCGUGAAAGCCUUGAGCUCAACUCGAAGAAAUGCGCUUGGAUAACUGGGCAGCUAGAGGACCGGAGAGGAUAGUGGAAUUCCAGUGUAGUGGUGAAAUACGUAGAGAUUGGGAAGAACACCAGUGGCGAAGGCGGCUAAUCUGGACGGUUUCGUGGAACACU